CCUACGGGUGGCAGCAGUGGGGAAUAUUGCACAAUGGGGGAAACCCUGAUGCAGCGACGCCGCGUGAGUGAAGAAGUAAUUCGUUAUGUAAAGCUCUAUCAGCAGGGAAGAAAAUGACGGUACCUGAUUAAGAAGCCCCGGCUAACUACGUGCCAGCAGCCGCGGUAAUACGUAGGGGGCAAGCGUUAUCCGGAUUUACUGGGUGUAAAGGGAGCGUAGACGGCAGUGCAAGUCUGGAGUGAAAGGCCGGGGCUCAACCCCCGGACUGCUCUGGAAACUGUGCGGCUGGAGUGCAGGAGAGGCAGGUGGAAUUCCUAGUGUAGCGGUGAAAUGCGUAGAUAUUAGGAGGAACACCAGUGGCGAAGGCGGCUUACUGGACUGUAACUGACGUUGAGGCUCGAAAGCGUGGGGAGCAAACAGGAUUAGAUACCCCUGUAGUC
rnacentral:rRNA from 1 species